UACGUAGGGUGCAAGCGUUAAUCGGAAUUACUGGGCGUAAAGCGUACGCAGGCGGCUAUGUAAGACAGGUGUGAAAUCCCCGGGCCUAACCCGGGAACUGCAUUUGUGACUGCAUAGCUAGAGUCCGUCAGAGGGGGGUGGAAUUCCACGUGUAGCAGUGAAAUGCGUAGAGAUGUGGAGGAACACCGAUGGCGAAGGCAGCCCCCUGGGAUGAGACUGACGCUCAUGUACGAAAGCGUGGGGAGCAAACAGG
rnacentral:rRNA from 1 species